AAGAUCAUACUUCACAGGAUCAUUUCUGUAGUAUGCAUCGUCCCCUCCAGGUGCAAAUCUGGAGUCGUCAUUGGCCACGAUGAUGAGACUAUAGUCCAUGUAUCGGAGCGUGAGGCGGCUGAUAAUCUACCGUAAGUGCGGUCGGAUUAUUCAGCGACGAUGAUCGCAACUAGCUCUUGAGCUAGGAGGUACGUGGACAGUCUGAGUGGU